rnacentral:rRNA from 1 species
UACGAAGGGGGCUAGCGUUGCUCGGAAUCACUGGGCGUAAAGGGUGCGUAGGCGGGUCUUUAAGUCAGGGGUGAAAUCCUGGAGCUCAACUCCAGAACUGCCUUUGAUACUGAGGAUCUUGAGUUCGGGAGAGGUGAGUGGAACUGCGAGUGUAGAGGUGAAAAUCCGUAGAUAUUCGCAAGAACACCAGUGGCGAAGGCGGCCCACUGGCCCGAUACUGACGCUGAGGCACGAAAGCGUGGGGAGCAAACAGGG